rnacentral:lncRNA from 1 species
GGGGGGGGCUGCAGGGGCCCCAAACUGGGAACCAGUCCAAGGCCAUCAGUCUGCCAAGGAGAGAGAGAACUUGGAAUAACAGCGGGUAAACUCCCGAUUAAUGAAUAAGCUGGGGGCUGGUUCAGGUGAGGGCGCACCUGUGAUUUACCUAAUCCCUACAAAGCUGCACCCCGAGACCCCUCACACUCAAAACUGCAGGAAGAAAGCCUGGAUUGUGCUGAAUAGCCUUGAGGGGAAGGGACUCUGGAAGGGAAGAGGCUCUGUACCCACAAACUCCAUCUCCCGAUCUCAGCUCCAGGCAGCCACCAUUCUAUUUCCUGUCUCCAUGAGUGUGCCUACUCCAGGGGCCCCACUUUACUGCAGUCAGAGGAUGGAACUCAGGCCACCAGGCUUGGUGACAAGCAUCUCUGUCCCCUGAAUCAUUUUCACCUUUGGAGACCCCACCUUCGGCUUCCCAGCAUCUGUCUUUCCUUGUUCUUCAGAGUUGUGGGACCGUUCAGUUCAUACCCUAGUGUUUGCCUUUCUGACUUCAGCAACAACU